UCCUCUUCGUUUUCUGUUUUGGUUCUAUCUGUGGCGUCAUCUUCGAGUAACAGCUGGGAUGAGAAACCAAGUUGCCAGAGCUGCGGCAGUGCUGUUAUGAAUAUGGAUUAUUGUUGCUGAUUCAUUUCCUGUGUUUCCUUGCGAGUAGUGCUCAGUUUUCUGCGUCCCUGUUCUGCUGCAAUCUUCAUUUUCUUCUUCUUUCUCCUUUGUUGUCCGCUGCCAUCUGGGUUGAGAAGGGUGUGCAGAAGAAAGGGAACCUGACCAAAAUUGAAAGAAAGGAUAUCUUUAAAAAUUUUGAAGCUCCGACGAAUUGGUUAGCUGACGCCGAUUCUACCAGCAACCUCAAAAGGGCAACUAGCUACAGUGGGUGGAUAUUUUGAUUGGUAUUAUUGUCUUUAUGUAAAUAUAUAAUUUGUAUGUCCUUUUGAUUUGAGAGAAGAAUAGAUGCUCCACAUAGGUUGUUGAUAAACUUUAUUUUUGAUCUGUAUAUGGGUUGUUGGCUGGAAGGAGCUACGCUCCUGAUUUAUACUGUUAUCUGUCAGAAUUUUGUUGUAGAA